rnacentral:ribozyme from 1 species
UUAUCCAUCUUAAUUCUGCGCCCUCAUUGAUUCGACGGGAGCAGAUGGAUCGCAACAGAUUCGUUUCGCAAAAAUCAACCCCAGAAUAUGUUUUGUGGCUCCCUGUAAAUGCAGAUUCAGAUUGAGCUCCAAUAUAGUGAUUCAUGAAACCCAAGACGCAAGCG